UCUGGGAAACAUUCACGAAUUAACCAGCUGAGGGAGCACAAGGCAUCGGUUUUUCAGUAACAGCAUAAUGGACUUGAGGGACUUGGAGAAGAAACAGCGUGGUUGACCAGAAUUACUGUAUUCCUGCCAGAUUCAGUUUGUGCCUGCUGCUCCUCAUUCAGCAUUUGAUUUCCUGAAGACACCAUGGCAAAGUCACUGUAUGAAAUAGGAAAUUUAGAACAGAGACAAACUCGUGCCAUUGGAGCAGCUUCCCCCAGGAUGGGCUGCCAGGGCACGCUGCUGGUCCUGCUGAGCCCAUUGCUGACCAGCACCUACAGAUCCCUUUCUGCAGGGCUGCUCUGACUUUCUCUUAAUGCCCCAAUCAAUACUCAUGGAAAAUAAAUGUUUUGAAUAACAGGGUGUCA
rnacentral:lncRNA from 1 species